rnacentral:rRNA from 1 species
GACGAGCGCUGCGGCGUGCCUAACACAUGCAAGUCGAGCGAAUGAAGUUCCUUCGGGAAUGGAUUUAGCGGCGGACGGGUGAGUAACACGUGGGCAACCUGCCUCAUAGAGGGGAAUAGCCUUCCGAAAGGGAGAUUAAUACCGCAUAAGAUUGUAGUACCGCAUGGUACAGCAAUUAAAGGAGCAAUCCGCUAUGAGAUGGGCCCGCGGCGCAGUAGCUAGUUGGUGAGGUAACGGCUCACCAAGGCGACGAUGCGUAGCCGACCUGAGAGGGUGAUCGGCCACAUUGGGACUGAGACACGGCCCAGACUCCUACGGGAGGCAGCAGUGGGGAAUAUUGCACAAUGGGGGAAACCCUGAUGCAGCAACGCCGCGUGAGUGAUGACGGCCUUCGGGUUGUAAAGCUCUGUCUUCAGGGACGAUAAUGACGGUACCUGAGGAGGAAGCCACGGCUAACUACGUGCCAGCAGCCGCAGUAA